rfam:Salmo salar isolate Sally breed double haploid chromosome ssa23, whole genome shotgun sequence.
UGGCUCAGUUGGUAGAGCAUGGUGUUUGCAACGCCAGGGUUGCGGGUUCGAUUCCCAC